GAACUCUAAGUGGAUUCAGAUGUGUGGAAAUGUGCCAGGAGCAUGGGUGGGGAUUGGUCAUUCACCUGUGUUUGCUGAGAGAUGAAGGCUGAGAAACGUCUGCAGAGCAGCAGGGAAGCAGGGCCUGGACUAGGGAGAGGCAAGGGGACACCAGCGCUCCCGGCUUCAGGGGGCCUAGCUUUCUGGUGGUGGUCCGCACCUCCAGAGCCUGAGCAGAUUGCCUCCUUGGAUUCUGCAGCCGGAGCAUUUGGUUUGUCCUGCCGUGUUCCAAACCUGGUAAGAAGCCAGGCUUGCCCAGCAGCUCCAGCACUCAGAGGGGCCAGCACGCUGAGACUUAAUUCGUAAGACCUUGCACAGCUGCCACUGGGAGUAAAGAGAGGGGUCUUACCAUAGUGACGCAGUGGACACUUGCCAUACUCUGUGCUUUCUUUUGGACACCUUUGGAAAGCUGUCUACCCCAGUAGCCCCGCCUCCCCAAGAUGGGGUCCAUCCCUCCCCCCACCCCGCUUGAAACCAAGGAUACUGAUUCUGGUCUCAGAACAGUGGGAGGAAGGUCCUGGCAGGAGCACCACGGGCCCAGACUGGUGGCAAGCGUGGCACAGCACGGUCUUCUCUGUGACAUUCAUGUAGCGUAAUUUAGGGACUGUGCCUGGCUUUGGAGCCUCCAAGCUUGACUCUGGGUCUAAUACAAGGAGACUUGUUGAAUGUCACCUGAUAAAUGGCUUCGUGCCACGUGCUGUAGACAACCAGGAACUCUGACCAGCACGGAUGAUUGAUGGAUGAUGGACAUCAAGGACAGGGAAGGCCUGGGGCUGGGAAGUGAAAAGGCAUCACCCGCCUUUUCUUUCUACCUCUUGCCUGUUCCCCUCUGGCCAUGGGCACAGAUGUGGUUUCGUAGACUGUCUGUCCAUGUGGGGCUGUGGUUACGAGUUCCAGCUCUCAAAGAAGUAGACCCCAUGUCCCUUGUUCCCAGCUUCAGUGCUUGUGAGAAAUACAUCCGAGUGGCCCAGGAGGAUCAGCUGCUCAAGCCCGGUCCCGUUGCUGGUCCAGGGGGUGCAGUUAAUGGUACCAGCAGGCUGGCUGGGUCUCCUCCCUCUGGCAGUUCUCAAAGAGAAUAUUUCUAUGGAUCAAGUCAGAGGCCACUGAGAUCUUUUUGGUGGCCCUGCCCCAGGGGGCCUUUCUCAUUCCAGGGCUAGAGAUGACCACACUGGGCCCAAGGGGUGCUGACAUGAAGCUGAAGUGAGUUUAAAACAUCUUUCUCCUCCAGUGCUUCUCCCUCCCGACCACAGAGCACAGCAGUGAUAUCUGGAGGUUGGGGCACUGGUUCCCAGCCGGGUAGCAGUUACUCCCUGUGGGCUCAGAUCUGUUUGACACAUGUGAGUACCACCGUUAAUGGAAAAAUAGGACUCUUGAGGCCAAAAGUUGUUGGAAGAGCAGGUGUCUGAGUCACUACUGCUCAUCAGGCAAGUGGGCCUGGAGAGCAGGGGUCCCACAUGGAGGGAGUGGGGAGGCCGCGCCCCGCAGACUUGGAUGCUCGUGCAGCCUGCCCGGUUCCGUAUCUGCAGGUGCGCACUGGGCUCUAAAGAACAAGCAGAAUUCCAAGUGAGAAGAAGGAAGUCUUUGUGUCGUUUUAUAGCACCAGCGUGAAUGUCGUUAUGCAGUCUAGACAUUGUGAGGGACAAAGCUCCACGCCCUCAGGAGUGGUGGACCGGUUGUUUUGGACCACCUGCCUUCCAGGGUGACUUCUGCACAAAUUGUGUGACCUCAGAAGGAGCCUCAGCUUCCUCAUCUUGCAACAGGACUAGUAAUAAUGAUGGUUUCUCAGGCUGUUGGGAGGUCCGGCUGGAGUGUAAACCCCACAUGGACCACGUGCUCACCUUGCACUGUGGCGCUCAAUAGGUGCUCAACAGGUUUGUAUCUGGUGGAGAGUCACUGAUUCAGGAACUCUUAGCUAAAAAGCUGAAUGAAUGCCCAGGCAGCACCCAGGCCCUAGGUCCCUGUGGGAGAAAUGGGGUCUGGGGGGACAGGAAAGGGUGAAGAGAGAGGUGCCCCACCACACCUCUGCCCUCCAGCAGAUCAUCUUUUAUCAGAUUUCCGGAGGGCUUGGUCCCUGCAUCUGUGAGUUCAAGAACCAUUUUCCCAGAGGGCAGAAAGCAAGCGAGGUCUGCGUUAUUUCUAACCUGAGUUUACUCCAGUGUUUAGUGAUGCUUUUAACUUUUAAAGCAUCAGAUUGCCAAGUCACAUAAUGCAAAUAUGCAUAAAAUGUGACCCACCAGUUCAGGGUCUAGACAACAUCUCCUGAAGAUUAAAAGGUUCAUGUCUUGCUGCUGGCCCCCCAAACUUGGGGGGCUGAAUCAGAGGUCAGGUGGGACAUAGUCAUGUGAUUUACAGUCAUGCAAACAAAGGACCGACUUCAACAAAAUCAGAGCUGAUUUGAAGGUAUCUUUGGGCAGCCCUGUGAGUUGUUGGGGAGUUAACUGGGGUAUGGUUUCCUUUUUGCUCACAGCUUUCCGUCGUUUCCCAAGGACCUUGCUGCAGAAACAGUACUGGCUCAAAUGCAGAUUCCUGGGUCCUGCCAGUUCUGAGGGUCCCGGGGCUUUUCAUGUUAGCAGAUGAGGACACUGAGGCACAGAGGUUUGCCGCUUGCCCGAGGUCACACAGCCACUGGGAGGCAGAGCUGGGAUUUCAAUCUGUCGGUAAGCAAGAGUCCCGUCCUGGUCCCUGUGCUCCCGAGCCACAGGCAGUAACUGAGGAUGGUGAGACGCUAACUGAGGACUGAGUGUUUUCAAAUUAUUUUGGAACGAACCCUGGGAUGCUUGUAAGAGCCACAGAAAAGACUCACGAAAUUGAAUAGUAUUGAUCCUAUUAUCUGUAUUAACUGAUGUGGGUGUGACUUGAUUUAGAAAUAUACAGAAAUGAGACAUAUCUCACACCUCAGGAGUUACAGAGUAGUUCAUAACCUGUGGCCCCAGUAAGGAUGUCAGAGUUGCUUGCUUGCAGUUUUGAUAUACUCUCUGUCUUAAUUUUUUGAAUAGAUGCUAUAUUGUAUUUACAUAACUAAAAAAUAAAAUUAU